rnacentral:rRNA from 1 species
CACGUAGGAUGCGAGCGUUAUUCGGAUUUACUGGGCGUAAAGCGCGUGUAGGCGGUUAGGAGAGUUGGAUGUGAAAGCUCCCGGCUUAACUGGGAGAGGUCGUUCAAAACUUCCUGACUAGAGUUUGGUAGAGGAAAAUGGAAUUCCGGGUGUAGUGGUGAAAUGCGUAGAUAUCCGGAGGAACACCAGUGGCGAAAGCGAUUUUCUGGACCGAUACUGACGCUCAGACGCGAAAGCUAGGGUAGCAAACGGG